rnacentral:rRNA from 1 species
CCUACGGGGUGCAGCAGUGGGGAAUAUUGGACAAUGGGCGAAAGCCUGAUCCAGCCAUGCCGCGUGUGUGAAGAAGGCCUUCGGGUUGUAAAGCACUUUCAGUGGGGAAGAAAGCCUUGGGGCUAAUACCCUCGAGGAAGGACAUCACCCACAGAAGAAGCACCGGCUAACUCCGUGCCAGCAGCCGCGGUAAUACGGAGGGUGCGAGCGUUAAUCGGAAUUACUGGGCGUAAAGCGCGCGUAGGCGGUCUGAUCAGCCGGUUGUGAAAGCCCCGGGCUCAACCUGGGAACGGCAUCCGGAACUGUCAGGCUAGAGUGCAGGAGAGGAAGGUAGAAUUCCCGGUGUAGCGGUGAAAUGCGUAGAGAUCGGGAGGAAUACCAGUGGCGAAGGCGGCCUUCUGGACUGACACUGACGCUGAGGUGCGAAAGCGUGGGUAGCAAACAGGAUUAGAUACCCCAGUAGUC